GACGUAGGGUCCAAGCGUUGUCCGGAUUUACUGGGCGUAAAGAGCGCGUAGGCGGUCCGUUAAGUGUAGAGUGAAAGCUCCGGGCUCAACUCGGAAAUUGCUCUGCAUACUGGCGGACUUGAGGGUGGCAGAGGUUUGUGGAAUUCCUGGUGUAGCGGUGAAAUGCGUAGAUAUCAGGAAGAACACCAAUGGCGAAAGCAGCUUUCUGGGACGGUACUGACGCUGAGACGCGAAAGCGUGGGGAGCGAACAGG
rnacentral:rRNA from 1 species